ACGAACGUUACGGCGGGCCUAACACAUGCAAGUCGGACGAGAAAGCCUUCGGGUGAGUAAAGUGGCGCACGGGUGAGGAACGCGUAGGUAAUCUACCCUCUGGCGGGGGACAACACUCCGAAAGGAAUGCUAAUACCGCGUAAGACCCCACCUACUACGGUAGGAGAGGUUAAAGGUGCCUCUAAAGCACCACCAGAGGAUGAGCCUGCGUCCCAUCAGCUUGUUGGUAAGGUAACGGCUUACCAAGGCUAAGACGGGUAGCUGGUCUGAGAGGAUGAUCAGCCACACUGGCACUGGAACACGGUCCAGACACCUACGGGUGGCAGCAGUGGGGAAUCUUGCACAAUGGACGAAAGUCUGAUGCAGCAACGCCGCGUGUGUGACGAAGGCCCGCGGGUCGUAAAGCACUGUCAGAAGGGAAGAAUAUAAUGACGGUACCUUCAAAGGAAGCACCGGCUAACUCCGUGCCAGCAGCCGCGGUAAU
rnacentral:rRNA from 1 species